rnacentral:misc_RNA from 1 species
CAUGAUCACUUCUUCCUUUCCAUCAUUUGAUAGACCUAGUGAUGCUGCAGUGUUCUUCAACAUGGACAGCGCUCUUUCUGAGUAAAUGGCAGUUGAUUCCAUUUUACUCCUCAAAUCAUCAAUUUCUUGUUGUGCCUCAUAAAGAUUCUUUUGCAUCAAGUCCUUUUCCUUCUUCAACAAACCAACUUGGCUCUCCAUUUCCUUCUUUUCCUCGAAAAGACCUGCGUGCUCUUUUUUCUUCUUUGCAGUCUCUUUUACAGUCUCUUCAAUCCUCUUCUUC